rnacentral:rRNA from 1 species
GAUGAACGCUGGCGGCGUGCCUAAUACAUGCAAGUCGAGCGAACAGACGAGGAGCUUGCUCCUCUGACGUUAGCGGCGGACGGGUGAGUAACACGUGGAUAACCUACCUAUAAGACUGGGAUAACUUCGGGAAACCGGAGCUAAUACCGGAUAAUAUAUUGAACCGCAUGGUUCAAUAGUGAAAGACGGUUUUGCUGUCACUUAUAGAUGGAUCCGCGCCGCAUUAGCUAGUUGGUAAGGUAACGGCUUACCAAGGCAACGAUGCGUAGCCGACCUGAGAGGGUGAUCGGCCACACGGGAACUGAGACACGGUCCAGACUCCUACGGGAGGCAGCAGUAGGGAAUCUUCCGCAAAGGGCGAAAGCUUGACGGAGCAACGCCGCGUGAGUGAUGAAGGUCUUCGGAUCGUAAAACUCUGUUAUUAGGGAAGAACAAAUGUGUAAGUAACUAUGCACGUCUUGACGGUACCUAAUCAGAAAGCCACGGCUAACUACGUG